UUGACCUCGGAUCAGGUAGGAAUACCCGCUGAACUUAAGCAUAUCAAUAAGCGGAGGAAAAGAAAUCAACAGGGAUUGCCCUAGUAACGGCGAGUGAAGCGGCAACAGCUCAAAUUUGAAAGCUGGCCUUCUGGCCCGCAUUGUAAUUUGCAGAGGAUGCUUUUGGUGCGGUACCUUCCGAGUUCCUUGGAACAGGACGCCUUAGAGGGUGAGAGCCCCGUACGGUUGGAUGCCUAGCCUCUGUAAAGCUCCUUCGACGAGUCGAGUAGUUUGGGAAUGCUGCUCUAAAUGGGAGGUAAAUUUCUUCUAAAGCUAAAUAUUGGCCAGAGACCGAUAGCGCACAAGUAGAGUGAUCGAAAGAUGAAAAGCACUUUGAAAAGAGGGUUAAAUAGCACGUGAAAUUGUUGAAAGGGAAGGAUUUAUCACCAGACCUUUGCCUGGCGGAUCAUCCGGUGUUCUCACCGGUGCACUUCGCCAGGUCGAGGCCAGCAUCGGUUUCGGCCGGGGGAUAAAGACUUCGGGAACGUGGCUCCCUCCGGGGAGUGUUAUAGCCCGUUGUGUAAUACCCUGGCUGGGACCGAGGAACGCGCUCUGCAAGGAUGCUGGCAUAAUGGUGAUCAAUCACCCGUCUUGAAACACGGACCAAGGAGU
rnacentral:rRNA from 1 species